rnacentral:rRNA from 1 species
AUUGAACGCUGGCGGCAUGCCUUACACAUGCAAGUCGAACGGCAGCACGGGUGCUUGCACCUGGUGGCGAGUGGCGAACGGGUGAGUAAUGCAUCGGAACGUGCCCGAUUGUGGGGGAUAACGCACCGAAAGGUGUGCUAAUACCGCAUAAUCUCUGAGGAGGAAAGCAGGGGAUCUUAGGACCUUGCGCAGUUGGAGCGGCCGAUGUCGGAUUAGCUAGUUGGUGAGGUAACGGCUUACCAAGGCGACGAUCCGUAGCUGGUCUGAGAGGAUGAUCAGCCACACUGGGACUGAGACACGGCCCAGACUCCUACGGGAGGCAGCAGUGGGGAAUAUUGGACAAUGGGGGAAACCCUGAUCCAGCCAUGCCGCGUGUGUGAAGAAGGUCUUAGGAUUGUAAAGCACUUUAAGUCAGGAGGAAGGGGUGUGUGUUAAUAGCACAUACUUUUGACGUUACUGACAGAAUAAGCACCGGCUAACUUCGUGCCAGCCGCCGCCGUAAAAC